rnacentral:rRNA from 1 species
AGAAUCAACGCUGGCGGCGUGCCUAACACAUGCAAGUCGAACGAGAAAGGGGAGCAAUCCCUGAGUAAAGUGGCGACCGGGUGAGUAACACGUGACUAACCUACCCUCGAGUGUGGAAUAACAUCGGGAAACCGAUGCUAAUACCGCAUAACAUCGGCGCUUUUAAGAGAUGCCGAUCAAAGGAGCAAUCCGCUUGAGGAGGGGGUCGCGGCUGAUUAGCUAGUUGGCGGGGUAACGGCCCACCAAGGCGAAGAUCGGUAGCCGGCCUGAGAGGGCGCACGGCCACACUGGAACUGAAACACGGUCCAGACUCCUACGGAGGCAGCAGUGGGGAAUUUUGCGCAAUGGGGGAAACCCUGACGCAGCAACGCCGCGUGGAGGAUGAAGCCCCUUGGGGCGUAAACUCCUUUCGACCAAGACGAUAAUGACGGUACUGGUGGAAGAAGCACCGGCUAACUCUGCGCCAGCAGCCGC